rnacentral:rRNA from 1 species
GGAUUAGAUACCCUGGGUAGUCCACGCCCUAAACGAUGUCGACUGGGGUGUUGGGGGAGGAGACUUCCUUAGUACCCGUAGCUAACGCGUGAAGUCGACCGCCUGGGGAGUACGGCCGCAAGGUUAAAACUCAAAGGAAUUGACGGGGACCCGCACAAGCGGUGGAUGAUGUGGAUUAAUUCGAUGCAACGCGAAAAACCUUACCUACCCUUGACAUGCCCGGAACCCUGGUGAGAGCUGGGGGUGCCCGAGAGGGAGCUGGGACACAGGUGCUGCAUGGCUGUCGUCAGCUCGUGUCGUGAGAUGUUGGGUUAAGUCCCGCAACGAGCGCAACCCUUGCCACUAAUUGCCAUCAUUGGGUUGGGCACUUUAGUGGGACUGCCGGUGACAAACCGGAGGAAGGUGGGGAUGACGUCAAGUCCUCAUGGCCCUUAUGGGUAGGGCUUCACACGUCAUACAAUGGCCGGUACAGAGGGUUGCCAACCCGCGAGGGGGAGCCAAUCCCAGAAAGCCGGUCGUAGUCCGGAUUGCAGUCUGCAACUCGACUGCAUGAA